CUCUGCUUCCAGCCUGUUUGGUGGAGCGGGCGCACACAUAUGGAGGUUCACUCCUCAAUGUGGCGGCCGCAGGUUCGACUCCAAUCUGUGGCUCUUUGCUCAUUCCCCUUCUCUCUCU